GAUGAAGAACGUAGUGAAAUGCGAUAAGUAAUGUGAAUUGCAGAAUUCAGUGAAUCAUCGAAUCUUUGAACGCACAUUGCGCCCUUUGGUAUUCCUUAGGGCAUGCCUGUUCGAGCGUCAUUUAAACCUUCAAGCUAAGCUUGGUGUUGGGUGACUGUCCGCUUCACGGCGGACUCGCCUCAAAAUUAUUGGCGGCCGGUACAUUGGCUUCGAGCGCAGCAGAAACGCGAACUCGGGCCCGUCGUAUUGGCUCCCAGAAGCUAUCUUCACAAUUUUGACCUCGGAUCAGGUAGGGAUACCCGCUGAACUUAAGCAUAUCAAUAAGCGGAGGA
rnacentral:misc_RNA from 1 species